rnacentral:lncRNA from 1 species
GAACUCCUUGAGAGGUUUGCGGGGAGGUGUUUCUCCAGAGCUCUUGACUAAGACAGGGGAACCUAAGAACACGGGCGCUCCACAAGGGUCAUGCUGUACAAUACACUUUACCUUGUAUGUGGACAGAGAACUUUUUGUAUGGGAGGUUUACUAUGGGCUCAGUUUCUAUCCAGGACGAUGAGAAUUCAGCAGCAACAUAGGAUUUGUCUCAUUCCCUCAUUUGAUUUCUCAACAUAAAAGAACAGUUGGUCCUGAAACUUAAGAUAGAGCCUCAUUAUAUAGCUCAGACAGGCAUGAAACUCACAAUGUAGCCCAGGCUGGCUUUAAACUUACAGAUAUCCAUUAGUCUCUGUCUCCCUGAAUAUAGGGACUUAAAGAUGUGCACCACUACAGCCGAUCUUCCAUCCUAAAACUACACAAACAAGAAAGUGCUGGCCUGUUUCUCUUCUCCAUUUUGAUUAGCUUUCUUUUCAUUCUUUUGUUUGUUUGGUUGAUUUUUGAGACAAUGUCUCUCUGUGUAGCUCAAGCUGGCCUAGAACUCACAGAGAUCUGCCUGCCUCUGCCUCCUGAGAGGUGGGAUUAAAGACGUGCCCAGCUUCUUUUUUUUUCUUUCUGAUCUCUCUUCUGCAGAAUUUUUUUCCACAUAGACUCACUCUUCCAUACCUCUUAUGUUAAUGCUGCCAAUUCUUUCUUCUCUGCUGGGAAGGCAAUAGUUUUGGCACACCAUUUUCAGACCAUAGUUUUUGGUGUGUGUCUCUGUGUGUGUGUGUAUGUGUGUGUGUGUGUGUGUGUGUCUGUGUGUCUGUGUCUGUGUGUAUCUAUGUGUAUGUGUCUCUGUGUGUGUAUAUGUUUGUCUGUCUGCCUCCCUCCCCCCUCCCCCUGUGUGUGUGUGUGUGUGUCCUGGCAUUUUAGUGGCUUCAGGGUCUAACCACAUUCUCCACAAAAUAAAUGUUCUGAAGACUUGCAGGAAAGAAUUGGUCAAGAGGUCACCCUGUGCAGGACACAUUGGAAUUCUGUCAAUGUGUAGCCUGAAGCAGAAAGUGCCGGUUGGCUUUCAAGGCUCUGAAAAUAUGCACAAGUAUUUGGUGAGAACUUCAGAACUCUGCUAAGCUGUCUUUGAUUCCAAAGAUAUCCCCAGGGCCAGUGAAUAAAUUACAGAUGCUUUUAAAAGUAUUAUUUAAUGCUUAUAUUAAAUAAUUGAUUCUUGACUGUGUAGGCUAAUCAAGUUAUUGCUACAUUGGCUUAAUUUUCUCUACUCACAUUAAAAAUACUACUUUGUUUUAAAGGGUGAUAACAGGAUCUUUUGUGGUUCUAUAUAAAGGGAACUCUUUUUGACCCACAGAUGCGAUGCUAUACCAGUAAGCUAUUUCUGGUUUAUUUAGCUGACAAAUGGUUAUCCCCUGGUCUCUUGCCUAGAUUACAACCUGUAGAGUCCUUUUCUCUGUAUUUAAUAUCCGACAUGUGAGACCUCUCUUCAGGGGUGUAUUGACUGCAUUCCAAGGAUGCUAUUUGGAGCUUGAACUCAGUGACUUCUUAAGUGGUACCUUGAAAUCCUGAAAGAACUGAACAGGGUAGCAUUCUCUGUGUUCUUGGGCAAAUUUCAUCUCUAUAGGUGUCUACUUAGUCCUUGCUUUCUAUGAAAAUUGCUUACAAUUGCGUGUUGUAAUUAUGGACAUUUUAACAAAGACCUUUAAUCUCUAUCUCUCUCAUAUUAUAACUAUUGUUUUAAAUAAAAAUCGUUUGUUUUUAAACUUAAGGUCUCUGGGAACCUGAAA